CUGCAGCUGCAGCCCGCAGCGUCUGGUGUGUCUGCAUCACGCAGCCGAGCUCUGCAGCUGCGCAGCCAGCAACAAGUGCCUGCGGUUCAGGUACGAUCAGGACGAGUUUCCCGCCAUGCUCUAUGGGGUGAAGUCACGCGCGCAGUCUUACGACACCUGGGCCAAGAGGGUCACGGAGGCGCUGGCGGCCGAUAACAAGAGCAAGAGAGAUCUGAUCGAGCUGAAGGUGCUGCU